rnacentral:rRNA from 1 species
UAUCUGCCCUUUGGCCUGGAAUAACACGAGGAAACUUGUGCUAAUACCGGAUAAGUCUUUACGGAGAAAGCUUUAUGCACCAUUGGAUGAGCCUGCACUUGAUUAGUUUGUUGGUGGGGUAAUGGCCUACCAAGACUAUGAUCAAUAGCUGAUUUGAGAGGAUGAUCAGCCACAUUGGGACUGAGACACGGCCCAAACUCCUACGGGAGGCAGCAGUGGGGAAUCUUGCACAAUGGAGGAAACUCUGAUGCAGCGAUGCCGCGUGAGUGAAGAAGGCCCUUGGGUUGUAAAGCUCUUUCGUCGGGGAAGAAAAUGACUGUACCCGAAUAAGAAGGUCCGGCUAACUUCGUGCCAGCAGCCGCGGUAAUACGAAGGGACCUAGCGU